GACCACUGCGCCACCCAGCGAGGGAGGCCACAUAGUUGUAAUUUAUUAAAAUUAUAUUUCUUAACUAUAGCCUACACAAUAGCUUUCAACAUACCCAGUAUUUGUAUAAACUUUCAAAAUAAUUGGUGGUUUAAAAAAUAAAAUGCGUACAACUAUCUUUUUAUUUAUUUUUUCCCCCAGAGGUGGUUGCAAUGCUGUGAAAGACCGUUGUACUGCACCAGAGUGCAAAAACAAAAAAUGGAUAUUCCCAAAGUGAACAUGUCUUUGCAGGAGGACUCUUAUUUUGGAGGAAAUAAAUCUGUGAUCAUGCUGCCAGCAUAAUAUCCUGCUGCUAGGAGAAAGGUAAUCAUUUUCUCUCAUCUUUCUUUUGCAGGUUUAUCUGCAUAUACCCUUCCUAUGUAAACAGUAAGAAGACCCUUGCAGAGGGGAGACGGAUACCCGCUGAAAAGGCAGUGGAGAACCCUACUUGUGCUGAGAUCCGUCAUGUAUUGACAGUAGGGGGGGCAAAUGUUCUUAUGGAGAACGAGAUGUACUCUAGAGAGUGGAACAGGGAUGUGACGUUCAGAGGAAGAGUGUGUGUACAGCUGAAGCAGGAGGAUGGAACUCUCUGCUCAGACAAGUUCGCGUCACAUAAGUGCUUGUUUGUGAAGGGGAGAAGCAAUGACCUAUGGCUGAAGUUAGAAAAACGGGAAGCAAU